CUCAAAUUAACUCGAUACCGACUC
rnacentral:siRNA from 1 species